AACAUUUGAAGAUGUUGCGUUGCUGACUUUAAAGAUGCAGAGAAGAGUAGCAUGACCCUUGGGCAACGAUGACACACACACAUUCGUGAUCCGUUCCAUGUUUAC
rfam:Myotis davidii contig128019, whole genome shotgun sequence.